rnacentral:rRNA from 1 species
CCCUUAGAUGUUCUGGGCCGCACGCGCGCUACACUGAUGCAUUCAACGAGUCUAAAACCUGCUCUGAUAGGGGUGGGUAAUCUUUUGAAUGUGCAUCGUGAUUGGGAUAGAUGAUUGCAAUUUUUCAUCUUCAACGAGGAAUGUCUAGUAAACGCAAGUCAUCAGCUUGCAUUGAUUACGUCCCUGCCCUUUGUACACACCGCCCGUCGCUCCUACCGAUUGAAUGAUCCGAUGAAUAUCAUGGAUUGAGGAUGCAAGUAGGUUCGCCUAUCUUCAUCUUCGAGAAGUGAAGUAAAUCUUAUCAUUUAGAGGAAGGAGAAGUCGUAACA